AGCAGUCGCCACGGUAAUACGUAGGUCCCGAGCGUUGUCCGGAUUUAUUGGGCGUAAAGCGAGCGCAGGCGGUUAGGUAAGUCUGAAGUUAAAGGCCGUGGCUCAACCAUAGUUCGCUUUGGAAACUGUCAAACUUGAGUGCAGAAGGGGAGAGUGGAGUUCCAUGUGUAGCGGUGAAAUGCGUAGAUAUAUGGAGGAACACCGGUGGCGAAAGCGGCUCUCUGGUCUGUAACUGACGCUGAGGCUCGAAAGCGUGGGGAGCGAACAGGAUUAGAUACCCCCGUAGUCCCUGUCUCUUAUACC
rnacentral:rRNA from 1 species